GUCUACGGCCAUGCCACCCUAAACAAGCCCAAUGUCUGAUCUCGGAAGCUAAGCAGGGUUGGGCCUAGUUAGUACUUGGAUGGGAGACCACCUAAGAAG
rnacentral:rRNA from 1 species